GGGAGAUCCUGAGCACUGGUUUGGCACAAGACUUCUCAAGCAGGACAUGUAAUCCACAAAAUAUAGCCAGUAUCCAGCGCUGCUCACAACUUUGCUUCUUGUGAGAAAUAAAGAAGAUGAUGGUCUUAACAUGGUUUUACUACAAGAAACUUCCCCUGCAUGGAAUAUACCUGUUAUCUUUCCUUGAGGCCACACACUGCCAUUCUGAGGAUUAAAAUGAUAAAUCCAGAGGGUUUACCACAGAUCAUGGGGAGAAAAUACAGGUGAGCUGCUGGAAAUGUGUUGUAGAAAUUAACAUUAUUAAACCCUGCUGCUACGUGGAUAUUUUGUUUUUGUUGAAAAUGAAAAUUGCAAAUAAAAGUGGUUUAUUUUUUUCACAUCUAGCCAGAAUUAGAAUAGAAUGACAGAUGAAUGAUUGAUGAUUUGAUGGAACAUCACUGGGUUUCUUGUGACACAUGCUCAUCUCUGACUAACCUUUGCAAGUAUCAGCCUGGUCAGCUUUCAUCACAUUUCAGCUUUGAGCAACAUGCUGCUGUGUCAGUCUUCAUGCUUGCGUUCAUUACCACGUGCCAAUUUAGAGUUGAAGCUUUUAAUGUGUGAACUCUUGAAACGGUUUUAUAUAGAUCAUCUAUAAAUCUAGUCUCUUGUUGAGGCACUGCCUCUAUUUGAGGUCUUCUUUUGACCUUAAACCCCUUGAUUAGUAGAAAGUAAAAACAUGUACAAAUGUACUCUCUGUGAAAAACAGUUAAGACAUGCUUUACUGAGUGAUAGCAUUUUCUAUUUCUUUUAUAUAUACUUUAGCAACAACUUUGAUUAUUAAAGGAAGUGUUAAAAAUAUUUUAUUUCAAUGUAAUAUAUAAUAAUUUUAAAAAAUAAUCACAAAACAAAGAAUUACACACUGACAAUAAAAACACUAUUUUAGAUGGCAGGGUUUAUUAUCUUUGGAUUUAUUAUCUAUAGAUUUUUUGUCUCUUUACUGCAAACUAGAAUAAACUAGGUUUAAUUUUGUCCUUGCUUGUAAAAAUCCAGACUGUGUAGUCAAAAUCACAAUUCUGCCUCCUUCAAAGUAAUGUAACUAGUUUAUGAGUUUAAUGUUAAAGUAAAUAUUAAUUAAACAAGUAUUGUAUAAGUAUAAUGCAUUGAUCAGAUUAUAUCAAAAUAGUUUUUUGAGGUUAAGCUAAAGAAUAUUUGGACACUUUGGUAGCUUGAAGGACAACUACAAGGACGAGGCCGACACAAUCACAUUCAAAUAUCAAAUCAUAUCGUCCUGUAGGGAAACAUCAACACUGGCGGGGCCUGUUUAAAUGAUAACAUAAAAGAUACUUUAUCAAAUACAUCUUUAUUGUGGAUGUUGUGAGUGAAUUGUGACCGUCAGUUCUUAAUUGGUAAAGUAUAAUAAAUAAAUACUCAAAAUGUCCUCAUCACUGUUUCAAAUUACACCAAUGUGUUAUAUAAACUGUUGAUGACAUAUGUAUACACCUAUAUAAGUUUAUAAGUGCAAAAGCACAGAAACAUCAACUCCAAAAAAGAGAUGUUUGCACUUGUUUGCGCCAGUGAGACUGCCAUAAUUAUUGCUAUCCUUGUUUCUCUGGCAUAACCACGGGUGUCCACAUGGCUCGGGGGUCCUCACCCACUCAAACAGGUGGUCUGGUGAUCAUGCGGCCAUUUACCUCGUGUGUAGCGGCCUCUGUGCCCUUAAAUGGCCACCCCAGCUGUACAUGUGGGGGUUUCCGUGGAGGCGAUUGACGUGGGUGCGCAUGCCUCCCGCGUGGAUCUCACCUUACUGGGUGGUGGUGCGGCAGGAACUGGCCCCUGAGUGGGGUAUAGAGCUUUAAGUGGGUGUGUGGCAUUCAGUAGUUGGCCGUACAUUUGAGAAAUAUGUUUCCCAGACCAGACACCACAGACGCUUAUAGCCUAAAUAUAAAGCAGCAGAACGACAACUAUCUGCUCCAGGCCAACUGUUGGCAUGUAAAGACUGAGAAAUGCAUCACAAGACCCUGAAGCUCCCCCUGACUCACCCCUGUCGGCCCGGGACCGAGGUGGUCAGUCGUUCUUUACCCAGAGUCAGAUACAGAAUGAGGGGAAUCACGCAACGACAUAUAUGUGUCAGUCAUUUCUUGGUUCAAAAAUGAUGAAAAAACAUACUUCAUGGUACAUGAUACUUCAUACUUCCCCUGGUUUUUUAUUGUGAAACACCAAUAAAAAUGGAAAUACA